UACGUAGGGUGCGAGCGUUAAUCGGAAUUACUGGGCGUAAAGGGUGCGCAGGCGGUUAUAUAAGACAGAUGUGAAAUCCCCGGGCUCAACCUGGGAACUGCGUUUGUGACUGUAUGACUAGAGUACGGUAGAGAGGGGUGGAAUUCCUGGUGUAGCAGUGAAAUGCGUAGAUAUCAGGAGGAACAUCGAUGGCGAAGGCAGCCCCUUGGACCUGUACUGGCGCUCAUGCACGAAAGCGUGGGGAGCAAACAGG
rnacentral:rRNA from 1 species